rnacentral:rRNA from 1 species
GACGAACGCUGGCGGCGUGCCUAAUACAUGCAAGUCGAACGCAGUUGCGAACGGGUGAGUAACGCGUAGGUAACUGCCUCAUAGCGGGGGAUAACUAAUGGAAACGCUAGCUCAUACCGCAUCCUGUGAGAUGGACCUGCGUGGUAUUAGCUAGGUGGUGAGGUAAAGGCUCAACAAGGCGACGGUACAUAGCCGACCUGAGAGGGUGAUCGGCCACACUGGGACUGAGACACGGCCCAGACUCCUACGGGAGGCAGCAGUAGGGAAACGUCGGCAAUGGGCGGAAGUCUGACCGAGCAACGCCGCGUGAGUGAAGAAGGUUUUCGGAUCGUAAAGCUCUGUUGUUAGAGAAGCGGUAACUACCCAGAAAGGGACGGCUAACUACGUGCCAGCAGCCGCGGUAAUAC